UGGGGUUGUGGCUCAGUGGUAGAGCGCGCACCUAAUGUGGGUGAGGCACUGGGUUUGAUCCUCAGAACCACAA
rnacentral:tRNA from 1 species